AUUUAGCUGAUGAGUCUCAAGUAGGACGAAGUGCGCAUCCUGGAU
rfam:Schistosoma curassoni strain Dakar, Senegal genome assembly, scaffold: SCTD_contig0001838